rnacentral:rRNA from 1 species
GGUAAUUUAUCUUAUAAUCAAAAUAAAUGGAUCAAAAAAACAUAAAUAAAUAUACAUAAACAAAGAGGAGUUAAACUAUUUUCCUCCCAUCACCCCAACAAAACAAUUUUCACACUCAAUAAAAUAUAAACAAACAACAAAUAAAUAAGAAAAAUGUUAAACUCUAUAGGGUCUUCUCGUCCCACAAAAACAUUUAAGAAUUUUAACUCAAAAACCAAAUUCAAUAAACAAUACCUCUAAGACAGCUUAUGUCUCGUCAAGCCAUUCAUACCAGAUCACAAUUAAAGAACUAAUGAUUAUGCUACCUUUGCACGGUCAAAAUACCGCGGCCCUUCAACAACAGUCAGUGGGCAGGCCAUACUUCAAAAACUAACAAGAAAAGAUGUUUUUGUUAAACAGGCGGACAUAAAAUUUGCCUAAUUCCUCAAAAGCAAUUAAUCAUUUCAACAUUAACACAAAAUAACAAAUAAAUUUACUAAUUACACAAUAAUUACUUCACAAACCAAAAGUAAAGAAAACAUUUCAAUAAACAAUUUAAAUAACAAAAAAUAAAAAAAAGAACAAAUAAAAUUUUAACAUAAUCAAAUAGAAAAUCACCAUAAAAUCCACAAAACUAAAUCAAAUCACAACCAAUUAUAAAAAUAAAACAAGGAGCUAAUCCCCCUUAAUCUUAACAUCAAAUAAAAAUAAAUAGAACAACAACAGAAAUUAAAUAAGAUGUAUGAAUUAAA